rnacentral:rRNA from 1 species
UUUUACUAAAAAACUGAUAGCAUAAUUAUGAUAUUCUUCUCAAAAANNNAAUCCCAUUUUCCAGACAAAUAUUAGANNUAAAAAGGAACUCGGCAAAAUAGAGCAACGACUCGUUUAACAAAAACAUAGCUUCUUGAAUUCUUUUGAAGUGAUGUCUGCCCGGUGUAAAAAUAAACGGCCGCGCAAGUGCUAAGGUAGCGUAAUAAUUUGUCUUUUUAUUGGAGACUAGUAUGAAUGGCAUAACGAAGCUCAACUGUCUCUUUAUAUUUUACAAAAACUGAUAAACAAGUGAAAAAUCUUUUUUUCAUAUGAAGGACGAGAAGACCCUAUAGAGUUUUAGUAAAACCUGUAUUUAUACGGGAAUACUUUUAUUGGGGCAAUAAAAGAACAUUUUAAAAUCUUUNNNNNNNAACCCUCAAAGAGAACUAAAAA